UACGAAGGGGGCUAGCGUUGCUCGGAAUUACUGGGCGUAAAGGGCGCGUAGGCGGCUUCAUAAGUCAAAGGUGAAAUCCCUCGGCUCAACUGAGGAACUGCCUUUGAAACUGUGGAGCUUGAGGCCGGGAGGGGGUAGCGGAAUUCCCAGUGUAGCGGUGAAAUGCGUAGAUAUUGGGAGGAACACCAGUGGCGAAGGCGGCUACCUGGACCGGUACUGACGCUGAUGCGCGAAAGCGUGGGUAGCAAACAGG
rnacentral:rRNA from 1 species